CUUAUGCUCAUUCUAGUUGAUUAGUUAAGAUGCGAAAACUAUAUAAGAAACAAGUGAUUUUUUGAAGCUUUCAUAGUUAUGAAAAAAAAAAAAAGCUUAGCCUUCAAUAUUCAAGAAUUUAAAACUACUUACGAAACGCUUUUUCGCCUCGUUGAUCUUAGCAUCAAGCUCCUCCAAAGCCUCCUUGUGAAGAGCUUCAUUAGGACGAACGGGUUUAUGAGAUGACAUUUUUAUUAAGGAUUUUGUUGUUGGUGGUGGAUAGUGGUGUGUGUUGAGUUGUCGUUUAACGAGUAUAUAACAAGGCAGAUAAACUCCGUUUGUUUUGCUUCCCUAGAGUUUUCGUUCGCAGUGCUGUGAAGGAGACUACCUGUUUCUGAAAUUUUUAUAAAUAGCUUUUUGUUGACGGUUAUUCAGACAUCGUGUGAAGAGCAGUCUAAGGAAAAGAUUACGAUAAUACAUGUUAUGAUAUUUUUUUUUUAUUUAUUUAAAUAAACUGGUAGUUUUUUGCACUCGUC